AGGAAAAUAGCUCAGUCGGCAGAGCAGCGGUCUCCAAAACCGAAGGGCGGGGGUUCAAAUCCCUCUUUUCCUG